UUCUUUCUCCCCUCUCUCUCAGCCGCGAUCUUUUCUUUUGUUGAUUUUUCUUGGUUUAUCAAUUAGAGAGGGGUGGUUUAGGAUCAAUUUUGAUCCGAAAUCACCCCUCUUGAUUGUUUUUAUAUUUCUUUUUAUUUAAAUAAGUGAUAUCCACAUACUUUUUGAGUUUUAUUCGAGUUUUUUCUUCUGAUUUUUUUCAUUUGGUGUUGUUUUAAUCCCGUCUUAGUGCGGAGUUUUGUUUAUCCCGUCUUUGUAUGGUGUUUGUCCCGUCUUGGUACGGUGUUUUUUUUGUUCAUAUUUGCAGGUUUGUUUCUAUCUCAAUUCAGUGCAGAUUCAAUGACUUUAGCAUCAUCAACGUUAUUGAUCCGGAUACAUGAUUACUCCGGACAUUUGAAGUUUGUCAUAUCAAUUGUAGGCUUUGUCUUAGACAUUAUGCCGUUUUAUGCUAUUAACUCGGAUACUGUGAGCCUGUUUGUGUUUGCAGAUUCAUCCUUAUUAGUUUUUAGCGAAAUUGAAUUUGU
rnacentral:lncRNA from 1 species